CCAAUAGCGUAUAUUAAAGUUGUUGCAGUUAAAAAGCUCGUAGUUGAAUUUCGGGAUCAGUACGCUGGUCGUGCCUUCGGUAUGUACUGGUGUUACUGGUUCCUACCUUCUGACGAACCGUCAUGUCAUUAAUUUGGUGUGGCGGGGAAUCAGGACUGUUACUUUGAAAAAAUUAGAGUGUUUAAAGCAGGCUCGCGCUUGAAUACAUUAGCAUGGAAUAAUGAAAUAGGAGGUUCGAUCCUAUUUUGUUGGUUUCUAGGAUUGACGUAAUGAUUAAUAGGGAUAGUUGGGGGCAUUAGUAUUCAAUUGUCAGAGGUGAAAUUCUUGGAUUUAUUGAAGACUAACUACUGCGAAAGCAUUUGCCAAGGAUGUUUUCAUUAAUCAAGAACGAAAGUUAGGGGAUCGAAGACGAUCAGAUACCGUCGUAGUCUUAACCAUAAACUAUGCCGACUAGGGAUCGGAUGAUGUUAAUUUUUUAAUGACUCAUUCGGCGCCUUACG
rnacentral:rRNA from 1 species